rnacentral:misc_RNA from 1 species
GAUGAAGAACGUAGCGAAAUGCGAUAACUAAUGUGAAUUGCAGAAUUCAGUGAAUCAUCGAGUCUUUGAACGCACAUUGCGCCCCCUGGUAUUCCGGGGGGCAUGCCUGUCCGAGCGUCAUUGCUGCCCUCAAGCACGGCUUGUGUGUUGGGCUCCGUCCCCCCGGGGACGGGCCCGAAAGGCAGCGGCGGCACCGAGUCCGGUCCUCGAGCGUAUGGGGCUUUGUCACCCGCUCUGUAGGCCCGGCCGGCGCCAGCCGACAACCCAUCAUCCUUUUCAGGUUGACCUCGGAUCAGGUAGGGAUACCCGCUGAACUUAAGCAUAUCAAUAAGCGGAGA